CACGUAGGGCGCAAGCGUUGUCCGGAAUUAUUGGGCGUAAAGAGCUCGUAGGCGGUCUGUUGCGUCCGCUGUGAAAACCCGGGGCUUAACCCUGGGCUGGCAGUGGAUACGGACAGACUAGAGGUAGGUAGGGGAGAAUGGAAUUCCCGGUGUAGCGGUGAAAUGCGCAGAUAUCGGGAGGAACACCGGUGGCGAAGGCGGUUCUCUGGGCCUUACCUGACGCUGAGGAGCGAAAAGCGUGGGGAGCGAACAGG
rnacentral:rRNA from 1 species